rnacentral:hammerhead_ribozyme from 1 species
ACAUUGCUGAAGAGUCCCAAAAUUGGACGAAACGGCUGUCCAAUGC